rnacentral:rRNA from 1 species
UACGUAGGGGGCAAGCGUUGUCCGGAUUUAUUGGGCGUAAAGAGCGUGUAGGCGGCCACACAGGUCUGCUGUGAAAACUCGAGGCUCAACCUCGAGCUGUCGGUGGAAACCGUGUGGCUAGAGUCCGGAAGAGGAGAGUGGAAUUCCCGGUGUAGCGGUGAAAUGCGCAGAUAUCGGGAAGAACACCCGUGGCGAAGGCGGCUCUCUGGGACGGUACUGACGCUGAGAGCGAAAGCGUGGGGAGCGAACAGG